rnacentral:rRNA from 1 species
GAUGAACGCUGGCGGCGUGCCUCAAACAUGCAAGUCGAGCGAGGCUAUGAAUUACCGCAAGGUAAGGCAUAGCCUAGCGGCGAACGGGUGAGUAACACGUGGGUAACCUACCUGGAAGACAGGGAUAACGAUUCGAAAGGGUCGCUAAUACCUGAUAAUAUCCAUCUGCCGGAUGGCGGAGGGAAGAAAGGGGAAACCCGCUUUCAGAUGGGCCCGCGUCCCAUCAGCUAGUUGGUAAGGUAAAGGCUUACCAAGGCGACGACGGGUAGCCGGUCUGAGAGGAUGUACGGCCACACUGGGACUGAGAUACGGCCCAGACUCCUACGGGAGGCAGCAGUUGGGAAUCUUAGGCAAUGGACGAAAGUCUGACCUAGCGACGCCGCGUGAGGGAAGAAGGCCUCGGUUGUAACUCUGUCAUGGGGAAGAAGGAAGUGACGGUACCCAACGAGGAAGCCCUGCUAACUACGUGCCAGCAGCCGCGGUAAGUCAUACUCGUA